UGAGAGGUGGUGCAUGGCCGUCGCCCAGCUCGUGCCCGUGAGAUGUCCUGUUAAGUCAGGUAACGAGCGAGAUCCCUGCCUCUAGUUGCCACCAUUACUCUCAGGAGUAGUGGGGCGAAUUAGCGGGACCGCCGCAGUUAAUGCGGAGGAAGGAAGGGGCCACGGCAGGUCAGUAUGCCCCGAAACUCUGGGGCCACACGCGGGCUGCAAUGGUAGCGACAAUUGGUUUCGAAUCCGAAAGGAUGAGGUAACCCACAAACGCUACCACAGUUAUGACUGAGGGCUGCAACUCGCCCUCACGAAUAUGGAAUCCCUAGUAACUGCGUGUCAUUAUCGCGCGGUGAAUACGUCCCUGCUCCUUGCACACACCGCCCGUCGUUUCAUUGAAGUGAGCUUUUAGCGAGGUGACGUCUGAUUGGCGUUAUCGAACUUGAGGUUCGUGACAAGGGAAAAGUCGUAACAAGGU
rnacentral:rRNA from 1 species